GCUAGCGACACUGCGUCAUUCAUUAUAUAAUUGAAAAAAAAAAACUGAGUUUUGUCAUAUUCUUAUUAAUUUUUGUGUUUUGUCUGAUACGUGUUUGUUGCUAAAUAGCACCAGCACAAUAUACGUAUGUAUAGUUAUUCAUAUGCGUUAACAAUCACGCCAACAGGUACUCGAGCAUAGGAUGAAGAUCAUGUCAUAACGGAUGACAAUGAAAUAGUAACCCCGCCUGCAUUAUCCGAAUAUGCUGGCGAGGCACCCGUGGAGGACGAUAGAUGAGCAUGAAAGCAGGUACCGUGGAUAAAGGCCGCUGCGAACUCUUAUUAAAUAGUGAUUAGCUGCUCUGUGGUAGAUUAAUUGCACCGAUAUUCUAAGUCGACAAUAUACCUAUACACACAAUACCUAUACAGAUCACAAAUGAGAGUUUACUUAAUAAUAAUAAAAGACACGGACAUUGUUCUGUAAUCUAAUGAUGUAACCUUGGCUCUCAAUUUGCAUUUACGGAUUAGAUUACAAAUGACAGUUUGUAGGUACUUUACUUACCUAAAACUUAGGCUCAAGAGGAAAGGUAUUGUUAAUAAUGUAUAAUAAAUAAAUCAGGUCAAACUCAACGCGGUUCCUCCUGGAAACCAUCGUUGCUUAAAUCUUGUUGAAUUCGUCAGGAUGGGCUAACUGACCUGCUUUCAUCCAAACCUAUCAUCACUCAUUAGUGCCCCGCCAGUGAAUACCGAUAAAAUUAGCGGGCUUACCAUUUCAUUAUCUUCCGUUGAAAUAAACUUAGACUCACGUGAUUUGACCUCAGAGCUUUAGUGUUCUCAAUAUAUAAUAUUGCAUCUAAAUAAAUGUAUAACCAUAAAUUUAUCUAUAACUACAUUAUAAUAAAAUUGUAGCUAGGCGAUGUUUGUACAUAGGGAUUCUUAAAAAAAAUAUCCCGAUCGAUAUUGUACGCGAAACUACAUUCGUAACCAAUAAAAUGAAACGUACAAAAUUACCUUAUUUAUUCUAGAUUGUUAAAAUCAUAGAAAUGUAAAGCAUAAUGUAAUGAGUUUACAUUAUGUUUAUAAUAACAUGAUAAAUGUUAUUAUAACUAUCUAGGCAAUAUGCAACAAAAUAAUGUGACCACAAGGCGUGCCACGGACGGGUCCGAAGUACAAUAAUUUGUUAUUACGAGUACUUACUGACAUUUAUUUAUAUUGUGAAAAAGAUAAGUAAAGAUAAUACUUAAUAAUAACAAGAGUGACUCAAGACACUGUGUUUGGCCAUAGUUUAGAUGGACGAAGAGACUGAUCUCUAACUCUCAUCUGAGAGGGAUAACUCAAUGACUAAGAAAUGACGUCCACACAGUUAAUGUGACGAGGAUUCGUUAUUUCCACGUGAUACGUAAGAUUAUAUAAUUUUGUACGUAACUCUCUCGGAUAGAUAGCUACUGUUAUUUGUUGACGUUUUUUCUGUAGUUUCGAUAUUAAAUCACAUUGCACGCAUCAUACUUAUUAAUAAUUAACCGAAAGAAAAAGAAAAAAAUAUUGAGUUUGUCCUAUAAUUAGAAAUUAUUUGUGUUGUUUGUAUUGUCAUAUUUUCCAAAGAAAAGAAACUAAAAAAACAACGUACAUAUCACAACAAGCGUAAUGUCAUUAAGGUCAAUAUUAUUAUAAAAAAUUAGCCCAACCAAAACACAUAAAUGUAUUUUGAUAUAUAUGUAUUAAUAAAAAAAAAAAAAAUAAGUAACUCAUUGUUACAAUAACUUAUAGAGAAAAAUAUGAAAGAUGAAAUAAAUAUAAUACCUUAAAAUAAUGACGGAAGCUUAUUAAUGGAUAACUGACAUUCUCGCCAGUUUUUACAUUGCCAUAUUGUUGAAUACGAAAGUGCAUGGAUAACAACAACUCUAAAUAUAAAACAAUGUUUUGUAUGAAAAUAUUUUACUGUUUCAUUAAAGUACAACUCAAUAACACUCAUCAAUAAAAUUCUGUAAAGUACUCGAUAGAAGAAUCUUAAUAAUAAUAUAUUUAGAACCAAUACCAAUACGAUCGCAUCAAAUUUUUAAAAUAUUAUAUUAUAAUUUUUAGAA